rnacentral:rRNA from 1 species
GUGACCUCAGAUCAGGCGAGAACACCUACUGAGUUUAAGCAUAUAAUUAAGCUGAGGAAAAGAAACUUACAAGGAUUCCCCUAAUAGCGGUGAGUGAACCGGGAAGAGCCCAACAUGAAAAUUGGGCGGCAGCAUGAAGGCGGCACCUAAGAGGGUGACAACCCCAUCGGCCUGGGACCCUGCCGCAUAAUGAGGCAUUGUUGGCGGGUUAGGUUGCUUGGGAAUGUAGCCCUAAUUGGGUGGUAAAUUCCAUCCAAGGCUAAAUACGGGCGAGAGACCGAUAGUGAACAAGUACCGCGAGGGAAAGAUGAAAAGGACUUUGAAAAGAGAGUUAAAGAGUGCUUGAAAUUGCUGGGAGGGAAGUGGAUGGAGGCUGUCGAUGAAUUUCGGUCAGAUGUGGAACGACUCAAGCUGGUUUGCCACUUGACUUGAGGUGCAAACCAACAUGGGGUGUUGCAUCAUCACAAGCGCGGGUGGAUUGUUGCUUGUCAGUUUGCUGUUGUGGUGGUCGAGGAACAAAGCGUGCACCGUUGUGGUGGGCUGUGUGCACCCAUGCACUCAUGGUGAUGGUUGGCAGGCUUUCCAUUUGACCCACCUUGAAAUAUGGACCAAGGAGUCUAACAUGUGUGUGAGUCGGUGGGUUUGAAAACCUGCGAGGCACAAGGAAGCUGACAGGCAAGAUCCCCUCUCUGGGGAGGUGCAUCGUCGACCGACCUUGAGCUUAUGCGAAGGGUUCAAGUGCGAGCACACCUGUUGGGACCCAAAAUAUGGUGAACUAUGCGUGAGUAGGGUGAAGCCAGAAGAAACUUUGGUGGAGGCUCGUAGUGAUAUUGACGUGCAAAUAGUUCGUCUGACUUGGGUAUAGGGGUGAAAGACUAAUAGAACCAUCUAGUCGCUGGUUUCCUCCAAAGUUUCCCUCAGGAUAGCUGGAGCUCACACACGAGUUUUAUUGGGUAAAGGAAAUGAUUAGAGGCAUAGGGGGCGUAACUCCCUCGACUUAUUCUCAGACUUUAAAUAGGUUAGAUGGUGUGGUUGCUCCAUUGAGCUGCACCAUGGAAUCGAGAGCUCCAAGCGGGCCAUUUUUGGUAAGCAUAACUGGCGAUGCGGGAUGAACUGAAAGUCAAGUUACGGUGUCGAAUUUCACACUAACCUAGAUCCCACAAAGGGUGUUGGUUGAUUAAGAUGGUAGGACGGUGGUCAUGCAAGUCAAAAUCCGCUAAGGAGUGUGUAACAACUCACCUGCCGAAUCAACUAGCCCCAAAAAUGGAUGGCGUUGAAGCGCGCAACCUAUACACGACCGUCAGAGCAAUUGCCUAGCUCCUAUGAGUAGGAGGACACGGAGGUCAUUGAGAAACCUCAUGCGUGAGCUUGGGGGAAUAGGCCCUAGUGCAGAUCUUGGUGGUAGUAGCAAAGAUUCAAAUGAGAACUUUGAAGACUGAAGUGGGGAAAGGUUCCAUGUGAACAGCACUGGGACAUGGGUUAGUCGAUCCUAAGAGAUGGGGAAGCCUUGUAUCAAGGGUGCACUCUGCAUGAGCAUCGAAAGGGAAUCGGGUUAAUAUUCCCGAACCGGGACAUGGCGGCGGGAAGAAAUGUUAGGAAAUCCAGAGACAUCGUCGGGGGCCUCAGGAAGAGUUAUCUUUUCUUUUUAAUAACUUACCCACCCUAGAAUUGGUUCACCCAGAGAUAGGGUCCAGCAGCUGGAAGAGUGUUGCACGUCUUGAGGUGUCCAACGUGCCCUUGGUGGCCCUUGAAAAUAUGGAGGACAGAGUACGGUUCAUGCUCAGUCGUACUCAUAACUGCAUCAGGUCUCCAAGGUGAAUAGCCUCUGGUCAAUCGAACAGUGUAGGUAAGGGAAGUCGACAAAAUGGAUCCAUAACUUUGGGAAAAGGAUUGGCUUUGAGGGAUGGGCCUAGGAGUCUGUUCCCUCAAUUCGUGGGUUGUCGGCAGUCUUCCUGAGCUGCUCUCUCGGCGAGGGCGGGCAGUCACAUGCCGAUUGGGCUACGGGCAUAGAAUGCCUGCUGCUGGGGGCUUUUCCCUAGGUGUCGAACAGUCGACUCAGAACUGGUACAGACAAGGGGAACCGACUAUUUAAUUAAAACAAAACAUUUCAAUGGUCCCUGCGGAUGCUGAUGCAAUUGGAUUUCUGCCCAGUGCUAUGAAUGUCAAAAUGAAGAAAUAUAACCAAGCGCGGGUAAAUGGCGGGAGUAACUAUGACUCUAUUAAGGUAGCCAAAUUCCUCGUCAUCUAAUUAGUGACGUGCAUGAAUGGAUUAACGAGAUUCCCACUAUCCCUAUCUACUAUCUAGUGAAACCACAACCAAGGGAACGAGAUUGGCAGAAUUAGCGGGGAAAGAAGACCCUGUCGAGCUUGACUCUAGUCCAACUUUGUGAAAUGACUUGAGAGGUGUAGAAUAAGUGGGAGUUGUUUUUGGUGCAAUUGAAAUACCACUACUUUUAACGUUAUUUUACUUAUUCCAUGGGGAGGAGAUGGGGCACUAACCCUAUUUUUGGCCUUACGGCACAUUGUGACGGGUCGAUCCAGGCGGAAGACAUUGUUAGGUGGGGAGUUUGGCUACUGUAGCACAUCUGUUAAAAGAUAAUGCAGGUGUCCUAAGAUGAGCUCAAUGAGAACAGAAAUAUUGUGUGGAACAAAACGGUAAAAUCUCAUUUGAUUUUGAUUAUCAGUAUGAAUACAAACCGUGAAAGCGUGGCUUGUGGUAGCCAAGCAUUCAUAGCAAUGUCUCUUUUUUAUCAUUCGAUGUUGGCUCUUCUUGUCAUUGUGAAGCAGAAUUCACCAAGUGUUGGAUUGUUCACCCACCAAUAGGGAACGUGAGCUGGGUUUAUACUGUCGUGAGAUAGGUUAGUUUUACCCUACUGAUGAACCACACCACAAUAGUAAUUCAACUUAGUAUGAGAGGAACUGUUGAUUCACACAAUUGGUUAUCGUGCUUGGUUGAAAAGCCAGUGGUGCGAAGCUACCAUGUGUCGGAUUAUGACUGAACGCCUCUAAGUCAGAAUCCAUGCUAGAAGCGGUGCAUGUCACUCUUUGACUAUAUCUCGACCCGCACUAGGGGCGUCACUUUAUCGCCCCUAGGGGCCCGUGUCAUUUGCAAACUGCGCUGUGAAGCAUCUCGGUUGGGGUAGCUUUGAAGUUCAAUUCCGAAUGGUCAUUGAGAAG